rnacentral:rRNA from 1 species
UACGUAGGGUGCAAGCGUUAAUCGGAAUUACUGGGCGUAAAGUGUGCGCAGGCGGCAGAGCAAGUCGAGUGUGAAAGCCCCGAGCUUAACUUGGGAAUUGCGCUCGAAACUACUUUGCUGGAGUGUGGCAGAGGAAGGUGGAAUUCCAGGUGUAGCGGUGAAAUGCGUAGAGAUCUGGAGGAACACCGAUGGCGAAGGCAGCCUUCUGGGCCAACACUGACGCUCGUGCACGAAAGCGUGGGGAGCAAACAGG